CGUAGGUAACCUGCCUGGUAGCGGGGGAUAACUAUUGAAACGAUAGCUAAUACCGCAUAACAUUGACUAUUGCAUGAUAGUCAAUUGAAAGGUGCAAAUGCACCACUACCAGAUGGACCUGCGUUGUAUUAGCUAGUUGGUGGGGUAACGGCUCACCAAGGCGACGAUACAUAGCCGACCUGAGAGGGUGAUCGGCCACACUGGGACUGAGACACGGCCCAG
rnacentral:rRNA from 1 species